CCAAUUUAUAAUACUAAGGGGGGGGGGGCUAGAUAGCUUUUUUUUUAAAGCCUAGGAUAGGUAACUUAGAGGGCUUGCCCAUAUUAUUAGUUGUAGGUAAUGCCUACCAAGACGAUGAUUGUAGUUGACUGAGAGUUGAACAGCCACUUGGGACUGAGCCCGGCCCAAAUCCUACGGGAGCAGCAGUAGGAAUUUUCGGCAAUGGAGGAACUCUGACCGAGCAACGCCGCGUGAACGACGAAGUACUUUGGUAUGUAAAGUUCUUUUAUCAAGGAAGAAAAGCAAGUGGUGAACCAUUUGUUUGCCGGUACUUGAUGAAUAAGCCCCGGCUAAUUAUGUGCCAGCAGCCGCGGUAAGACAUAAGGGGCAAGUGUUAUCCGGAAUUAUUGGGCGUAAAGGGUGCGUAGGCGGUCUAGUAAGUCAGUGGUGUAAUGGCAACGCUCAACGUUGUCCGGCUAUUGAAACUGCUAAACUUGAGUUAGAUAGAGGCGAGUGGAAUUCCAUGUGUAGCGGUAAAAUGCGUAAAUAUAUGGAGGAACACCAGAGGCGUAGGCGGCUCGCUGGGUCUUAACUGACGCUGAGGCACGAAAGCGUGGGGAGCAAACAGGAUUAGAUACCCUGGUAGUCCACGCCGUAAACGAUGAGUACUAAGUGUCGGGUUAAACCGGUACUGAAGUUAACACAUUAAGUACUCCGCCUGAGUAGUACGUACGCAAGUAUGAAACUUAAAGGAAUUGACGGGACUCCGCACAAGCGGUGGAUCAUGUUGUUUAAUUCGAAGAUACCCGAAAAACCUUACCAGGUCUUGACAUGUUUUUGCGAAACGGUAGUAAUAUCGUGGAGGUUAUCAGAAACACAGGUGGUGCAUGGUUGUCGUCAGCUCGUGUCGUGAGAUGUUAGGUUAAGUCCUAAAACGAGCGAAACCCUUAUCGUUAGUUGCCAGCACGUUAUGGUGGGGACUUUAACGAGACUGCCAGUGAUAAAUUGGAGGAAGGUGAGGAUCACGUCAAAUCAGCAUGCCCCUUAUGACCUGGGCUACAAACGUGAUACAAUGGCUGUUACAAAGGGUAGCUGAAACGCAAGUUCUUGGCCAAUCCCCAAAAACAGUCUCAGUCCGGAUUGAAGUCUGCAACUCGACUUCAUGAAGUUGGAAUCGCUAGUAAUCGCGAAUCAGCAUUCGCGGAAACAGGUGAAU
rnacentral:sRNA from 1 species